GGGUUGUGAGGUUAAGCGACUAAGCGUACACGGUGGAUGCCCUGGCAGUCAGAGGCGAUGAAGGACGUGCUAAUCUGCGAUAAGCGCCGGUAAGGUGAUAUGAACCGUUAUAACCGGCGAUUUCCGAAUGGGGAAACCCAGUGUGACUCGUCACACUAUCAUUAACUGAAUCCAUAGGUUAAUGAGGCGAACCGGGGGAACUGAAACAUCUAAGUACCCCGAGGAAAAGAAAUCAACCGAGAUUCCCCCAGUAGCGGCGAGCGAACGGGGAGGAGCCCAGAGCCUGAAUCAGCAUGUGUGUUAGUGGAAGCGUCUGGAAAGGCGCGCGAUACAGGGUGACAGCCCCGUACACAAAAGCGCAUAUGCUGUGAGCUCGAUGAGUAGGGCGGGACACGUGGUAUCCUGUCUGAAUAUGGGGGGACCAUCCUCCAAGGCUAAAUACUCCUGACUGACCGAUAGUGAACCAGUACCGUGAGGGAAAGGCGAAAAGAACCCCGGCGAGGGGAGUGAAAAAGAACCUGAAACCGUGUACGUACAAGCAGUGGGAGCACAGGUUUACCUGUGUGACUGCGUACCUUUUGUAUAAUGGGUCAGCGACUUAUAUUCUGUAGCAAGGUUAACCGAAUAGGGGAGCCGGAGGGAAACC
rnacentral:rRNA from 1 species